GGUAUUUGCUCUGCAGCUGAUUCAGCAAGGGCAGUGGAAGGAAAGAACAAAGAAGGUGGAGAAGAUGGAGUCCUUUUAUACCUGAAUUCAGGGUAAGACAUUUUUUUUUAAUUCUGUAGACAGCAGAUAAUUUUUCAUUCUUACUUUGCUGGAAAACCCAUCUUCGAUUUUUAGAGGCUAAUUUGGGGGACAGCAAAACCUGACUGAAUUUCCCAGUUAUUUCUACAAUC
rnacentral:lncRNA from 1 species